rnacentral:misc_RNA from 1 species
UCUCCGUUGGUGAACCAGCGGAGGGAUCAUUAACGAGUUGCAAGACUCCAAACCAUCGCGAACCUACCUCACCGUUGCUUCGGCGGGAGGCCGUGCCGAUUUUUCGGGGCGGCCCCCGGCUCCUCGGGGCGCCCGCCGGAGGCAUCCACAACCCUGUUUUAUUAGUCAUCUCUGAGUAUAAUCAAAAUAAGUCAAAACUUUCAACAACGGAUCUCUUGGUUCGGGCAUCGAUGAAGAACGCAGC